CCGAGGUUGACCUGGUUUCUGUCACCGAGGUUGGCCUGGUUUCUGUCACCGAGGUUGAGCUGGUUUCUGUCACCGAGGUUGGGCUGGUUUCUGUCACCGAGGUUGACCUGGUUUCUGUCACCGAGGUUGGCCUGGUUUCUGUCACCGAGGUUGAGCUGGUUUCUGUCACCGAGGUUGGGCUGGUUUCUGUCACCGAGGUUGAGCUGGUUUCUGUCACCGAGGUUGGGCUGGUUUCUGUCACCAAAGUUGAGCUGGUUUCU